UACGUAGGGGGCGAGCGUUGUCCGGAAUCAUUGGGCGUAAAGCGCGUGUAGGCGGCUCGGUAAGUCCGGUGUGAAACCUUGGGGCUCAACCCCAAGCCUGCACUGGAUACUGUCGAGCUCGAGUCCGGGAGGGGAGAGCGGAAUCCUAGUGUAGCGGUGAAAUGCGCAGAUAUCAGGAGGAACACCGGUGGCGAAGGCGGGUCUCUGGGCAACAACUGACGCUGAGGAGCGAAAGCGUGGGGAGCGAACAGG
rnacentral:rRNA from 1 species